rnacentral:rRNA from 1 species
CCUGGGGAGUACGGCCGCAAGGUUAAAACUCAAAUGAAUUGACGGGGGCCCGCACAAGCGGUGGAGCAUGUGGUUUAAUUCGAAGCAACGCGAAGAACCUUACCAGGCCUUGACAUCCUGAGACCUCUCCAGAGAUGGAUCUGUGCCUUCCGGAAGUCUGACACAGAUGCCGCAUAUCUGUCUUCAGCGCGUGUCGCGAGAUAUGGUGUUAUGACCCGUACAGCGCGCGCCCCUUUUCAUUUUUUAUCCCCGCAUUAAGGUGGGCACUCUAAGGAGACUGCCGGUGACAAACCGGAGGAAGGUGGGGAUGACGUCAAGUCAUCAUGCCCCUUACGGCCUGGGCUACACACGUGCUACAAUGGUCGGUACAAAGGGUUGCCAAGCCGCGAGGUGGAGCUAAUCCCAUAAAACCGUUCGUAGUUCGGAUCGCAGUCUGCAACUCGCCUGCGUGAAGUCGGAAUCGCUAGUAAUCGCGAAUCAGAAUGUCACGGUGAAUACGUUCCCGGGCCUUGUACACACCGCCC